rnacentral:rRNA from 1 species
UACGUAGGGUGCAAGCGUUAAUCGGAAUUACUGGGCGUAAAGCGUGCGCAGGCGGUUGUGCAAGACAGAUGUGAAAUCCCCGGGCUUAACCUGGGAACUGCAUUUGUGACUGCAUGGCUAGAGUUUGGCAGAGGGGGGUAGAAUUCCACGUGUAGCAGUGAAAUGCGUAGAUAUGUGGAGGAACACCGAUGGCGAAGGCAGCCCCCUGGGUCAAGACUGACGCUCAUGCACGAAAGCGUGGGGAGCAAACAGG